rnacentral:rRNA from 1 species
GACGAACGCUGGCGGCGUGCUUAACACAUGCAAGUCGAACGGAAAGGCCCUGCUUGCAGGGUACUCGAGUGGCGAACGGGUGAGUAACACGUGGGUGAUCGGCCCGUCACUUCGGGAUAAGCCUGGGAAACUGGGUCUAAUACCGGAUAUUACCUUCCAUGUAGUGUGGGGGGUGUAAAGAUUUAUCGGUGUGGGAUGAGCCCGCGGCCUAUCAGCUUGUUGUGGGGGUAAUGGCCUACCAAGACGUCGACGGGUAGACGGCCUGAGAGGGUGGACGGCCACACUGGGACUGAGAUACGGCCAAGACUCGUACGGGAGGCAGAAGUGGGGAAUAUUGCACAAUGGGCGGAAGCCUUAUGAAGAGAAGCCGCGGGGGGGAUGACGGCCUUCGGGUUGUAAACCUCUUUCGACAGGGACGAAGCUUCGGUGACGGUACCUGUAUAAGAAGCACCGGCUAAAUACGUGC